GGAGGGAGCAAGCGUUGUUCGGAAUCAUUGGGCGUAAAGCGCGCGCAGGCGGUUGGGUAAGUCAGACGUGGAAGCCCAUGGCUCAACCAUGGAAUUGCGUUUGAUACUGCCCAGCUAGAGUUCGGGAGAGGGUGACGGAAUUCCCAGUGUAGAGGUGAAAUUCGUAGAUAUUGGGAGGAACACCUGUGGCGAAGGCGGCUUCCUGGACCGAUACUGACGCUGAGGCGCGAAAGCUAGGGGAGCGAACGGGAUUAGAUACCCCGGUAGUCCUAUGCUGUAAACGAUGAUCACUAGGUGUAGGAGGUAUCGACCCCUCCUGUGCCGCAGCUAACGCAUUAAGUGAUCCGCCUGGGGAAUACGGCCGCAAGGCUA
rnacentral:rRNA from 1 species